AGAAGCAAGGUCUUGUGGUGCCUUUUUUAAAACUGAGCGAAAGCCUAUUUCAAUAAAACUCGGUCGGAAAGAUAAAGAUAACAUAAGCUUGUUCACCCAAUUUGCACAAAAGUCCAUGGAUACACGUUUACAUAGAGACGUAAUGUUCUUUUUUUCUUAGGAAUCUCCGCCGGCCGCCGCGCGGCUACAUCCGCUGCCGCACGCCCUGCGGCGCGCCGCCCAGCUGCCUUCGCCGCCGCAGUGAGUACGUGCCCGUGCUGGUCGCCCCGCCCACCGUCUGCGCCUCCACGCGCCCGCCUUUCCACUCGGGUAGCCACCGCCUUGAGCCCUGCCAUUUGGAGCGCGCGUCAGCCGUCUACACGUACGCGGCCUGGAAGGCGCCGUCCGAGGCGAGCCACGGCAAUCUUGGCGACCAUACCAGCGCGGCCUCGCUCUCCGCCGUGCAGGGCUGCGGCCGUGCGUCGUCGCAAAGAGGAGCCGGCCUCCCCCCACCCCCGUCACCGUGCAGGAGAAUGGAGGAGAACCGGUGGAAUUGAGGGAGUGAGGCGAGCAGAGCGGGCGAGAUUCAGUAUCUGGCUAGUAGGCAGACGAAGUUCCGGUAGACGACCACCGGCACUGAGCGGCGACGGAGGCCGACAUAGACACCAUUCAUAGUUGGGGAUGGGAGCACAGAGUUUGGAUCAGGAGCAGAGAUGCUGAGAACUAUAAUACAACCGAGAGGAGAUCCAAGGGACUGUAAUACCUUCUCAAUAGGAACUUCAUGGGUUUUGCACCACGCCACGGUGAUUCUUGGAUCAAGGUUGUCCUUAGAAGAUGAAGGGCUCUUCUUUUUCUUCUUCACAAUAUCCUUUGCAGACGGCUUUCUUUUUGAAGGCUCGCCGACUGUCAGCCUUCGUGCGAGAGGUACAUUGUCACUUCCAUCAUCCUCUGAACUUGCAGAGGCAGAACUGUUUGUACACUUUGCCUUCUUAAGAGCUGAACUUGGCUGAAUAUUGCUAUCACAUGGCCUCUUGACUGAAUUUCGGGUAGCACUACUUGCACUACUGUUCAACGCCUCCUUGUUAGGUUCGAUCGGCAUGUCCACGGAAUUUCGAGUAACGAGUGAAAAACGGGCAGCCAAUGGCUUAUCAUCCUCUGAAUCAUCAUCGUCGGAGGCGCUGCCUCCACUUGGUGAAGCGGCGUCCUUGAACAACCUUGCGGAGAGUGGUUUCUCAUCAUCUUCUGAAUCUGAAUCGGCGCUACAUGUGGUGAUUCUCUGGAAUUUCCUGUCAUCGGCCUUUUUCCUCAGUGCAAGUGGGGUGGGCAUGUUGUUUUGCUUCAGAGAGGCACUCGGCCUCUUGAAGGAGACUGGGCCGUCGAAUUCGUCACCGUCGCUGUCAAACGUAUGGGCAGCCGCCGGCAUUGCUUCUUCCUCAAGGUGGCAGGACCGCAGGAGGAUGCCGGAUUGAACGGACAGGCCUGCAAGCUACCACGGUUCACCCGUUCAAGAUCAUCAAACACGACGCUAAGACCCAUGGUGACCUUGGGAGCCAAGAGCCAAGGCCAGGCCCGGACAGGGAGGGAGAGACCUGAAGUUACCUUGGGCGCGUGGCCGCGCGAGUGGCAGGCAGUUCUUCUCCCUUUGCUCCGGCGAGGCCGAGGGGUCGCCGGGGAAAGAGGCCGGCGUGGAGGUAGGGUUACUGCGGGUCUGCGGCACGACGUGAAGUAUCUCUCUUUUUUCUCUCUCUCUCCCUCUCUCCCCCUUAUAUACUGCCUUGGCAGAUACAGCGCGACGGUGAUGUCGGUUCCUUGAUUUUUGGAUUUGGAAACCCCGCGUCGCCGACCUUUUC